GUUUGUUUUCCUAAAAAAAAGUGAAAGCAGCAGCACAGGGGAUAACCCCGUACUCAUGGCCCUUGCCUGACAGGUGGGUUGAGCUUCGACUCAAACCAGGGACCCGAACCCAAGACCCCACAUCCCAGAUGGGCGCUCACAUCUCCAGGCUGGAAGUCAGACUCUUUUUCCAUGGAUAACUGCUUAAUCAUUUAUCCAAACUGGCCCAGCUGUGCACAGGAGGGAUUUAAAGACUGGGCUUCUCUGGGAUGGGAGAGUCUGUGUCCCCAUGUCUCUGUGUCCCCGUGUCCCCGUGUCCCUGCUGGCAGCCAGGGACCUCUCCAGGGGCUGGGAGCGCUGCGGGUGGGUGCCAUCACCUGCAGGUGAGGGCCUGUUGGGAGAAGAUUUUACCCCGUGGUUUUGACUUGAAAUCCAGGCUUGAGCACAGGCAACCUCCCCAAACAGCCCUUCGUGGAAACUGAUAGGUUGCUAUGAAAAAAUAAAUAAAAAAAAAAAAGGGAAAAAAAAUAAAAAGGAAAAAAUUGGUUUUGCCACACUGACAUUUUCUGACACAAGAAAACAUGUUGUCAAAAGCUUCCCAACCGCUCUGCUGGGAAUGUGCUCUUUGCCAUCAGUCCCCAAGGCUGGAGCGCUGGGGUGUUGAAAUGUUACUACAGCCCUGGAAACUGUGAGUCAGCUCGUCCCACCCACAGGAGAUACUCGUGGGAAGGGCCUCGCCGAGCCCGGAGAGGCGGCAGCCACAGCGCUGGCCUCGCGGAGCUGCCAUUAACCCAUUCUCAUUAAUUGCAGCUUCCAUUUCAGCCUGCUCCGAGCAGCCUCGCUGCUGUGUCCCCGGGUCUCCCUCCGGGUGCCACCACGGCACGGGACGGGGCCAUUUGGAUGAAAGGCGCCCGAGCAAAUUCGCUCUCGGCUGUACCCACGUGCAGGGAUUUCCACAAUUCCUCAUGCCAGGAGGAGGCUGGGGCAGUGCUCUCCCACCUUUAUCUACCCCUUUCCUCUGCCCAGCCCCUGCGUGGGGACGCGGGCACGGAUCCGUGCAUGCCGUCCCCGCCAGCUCCCCACCACUGCGGGUGGUGAGCUGCACGGGAUGCUGCGGCCAAAACAGGGUGGAAAGGGUAAAAAUAGCAAACACAGGCUCUGAGCCCCGUGCAUGGUGGUGGGCAACAGCCCCCGCGUUCCCUUGAUGUCCAUCCUCUGGGCUGGGAUCACAUCCUGAGCCCGGAGCAUCUCCAGAAGCCGAGGCCUGGGAGCGCAGAGCCCAGCGGUUGUGAAGUUUGCCGUGAAGGAGAAGCCUUCAGACGGUUUUGGGGUUGGGUUUAUCCAAAGGCCUCGCUCUGGUUUUAGCUUUUUCCAUCCUGAAGACCGUCCAAGGUCCUAUCACG